AUCGCAACGGCAAGAGCGCGGCCGAAAACCUUCAGGCGGCCUGACGAAAAUCUGCCUCUGGCUUGUGACCACGGAUGUACUGGUACGACCCAUCGAGGCGGGCAGGAGAAGGUCGGGAAUUUCCCGGCCUUUUUCAUU
rnacentral:sRNA from 1 species